rnacentral:lncRNA from 1 species
CAGUGGCAGUGUAUCUGCGAAAACUGUGCGACUGAAUAACUGUAGGAUUGGUUUGUUGUGUCGGUUUAUUGUAUUGGUGGUCGUCUGUUCCUGAUGCCUGAAAAUUGGAUCAGAGUGGGACGUCUUAGUGGUAACUACAUCUACCAUAUGCGUUCCUGGUACUGAUGCUGAGGCUGUCACGCAGAGACUGAUGCAAACAUUUAGGAGAGCAUGAGUACCCCAGGUUUAUUUAGAGUGGUUCCAGGUUUGUUUGUGUGUUUUUAUGACAAGGACAAAAUAAAAAAUAAAUGUUCUUUAUUUUGUUAAACUUGAAUCUUUCUCCAUUAAUCAUCAAAAAUAUCUAAUCAUUCAUAAGUCUUUAAAAAGCCUGAUAAAUAUACUCUUUCUCUAAGGUAGGUUUACACAUUUAUCACUAACAGGCUAUCGCCAUUAAUUGAUCUUGUGUCUCUAACCUGACUUCAUUUGAUUGUCCCACAGUGAACUCUAGUGGCAAGAUUAAGUAUAACACAGGCAGUGAAAGCAGGAUGAAUUCAGUGUAUUUUUUCACAAUGGUCAUUUGUGUGUUGAAGGCUACAGUGAAAAACUUAUCUAACAACAAAAGCUUUAAAAAAUUUGAUCUGGAAAGGGAAUUUUUAUUCUUAUGUUACCUACACUGUAUUUGUAUUGUACCAGUAAAAUCUUUCUUUCAAUUAUCCUCAAUUAUUAUUAUCUGAAUAUUAAUAAUAAUAAUAAUAAAUUUUAUUUAUAACGGGCUUUUACAGGUACUCAAAGACGCCUAACAAAGAAAAACAAUAAAAUAAAUACAGAAAAUUUGAGAAAUAAAACCAACGAUGCAAAAGGUUAAAAAAGACACAAUAUGAAAAGACAAUUAAAGAACAGUUCACAAGUUAAAAGCCAAUUUAAAAGGUGUGUCUUUAGGAGUGAUUUGAAAGUAUGGGGGUCUGUACAGUCUCGGAUGGGUUUGGGGAGUAAAUUCCUGAGGGUGGGGGCGGCAGUGGAGAAGGCUCUGUCCCCCUCCAAGUUCGGUUCAUUUAAACACUUUAUUUUCAUAUUUUUAUUCUAAUUUUUUUGUGUUUUUGUUCAACUUUGUCGUAUAAUUUCAUUUUAAAAUGGCUCAAACUACCAUUAACCCAAAAGUUUUCAAUUAGUAGCAAUGUAAAACGUAGAAGGCAGUAAAAUUUCAUGUAUAAAAAGCAUGAAAAAGAGAGCAAGAAAGGAGAGAGAUAAUUAUUUACCUUCUCAGUUUUCAAAAAAGCUGGUUAUCUGCUUUUUUAGUUAAAUUAAAUGUCUAUGGGGAAAAUAAAAAUAAAAUGGAAACUUAAAAAAGUUAGUCACAGAGCCAUGGAGUGUUAUAAAGAAAAAAAAAACUGCAGAUAGUGCAAGUUUAUGAAGGUGACCUCAUCUUUUAUGGCCACACAGACUCUCAACCAAGCUUACAUAAAUGUGUGUGUGUGUGUGUGUGUGUGUGUGUGUGUGUGUGUGUGUGUGUGUGUGUGUGUGUGUGUGUGUGUGUGUGUGUGUGUCAAAGCUAACAGAAGACGCUGAUAGUUGAAGGACAGGCUCAUCAGCCACAGGGUCCCACAGAGGGGGAUAAGGGAGAAGAGGAGGCCAGGCUGGGCCAGAGGAGAGAGGAAGAGACAAAAGGAGAUGAGAGAGGUGGAACUACGGGGUCCUGGUCCAGGAAUAACUCACAGGAGCUACCCGGCCCCCCUACCAAGCCUGCCAGGUGAGAGACCUUGGUGUUGGACCCCAGCCAGCAUAGUGGGGUUCCUGCUCAGACAUACGGCUGUAACACAGGCCAGGGAUAGAGCUACAGAGAUAUGACAAUGUGUAUGUGAGUAUGUGUGUGUGUAUGUGUGUGUGAGUGAGUGACUGAGUGUGUAUCCUUCACCCUGGCAGACGAGGUGUUGGCAUACUAUCCCAGCCCACUCUGUCUCCGAGGGCCACUAAGUCCAUCUACCCUUCCUCACUCAUUUGUUAACCUGCCUCUUCUCUUUGCUGCGUCCUCACUCACGAGCUGGGAGAAACUACAUGACUGGGGUCAUUCACACACACACACAACCCCCCCAAUACUUUAGUGACGCUCUCAAGACAACUUAGAAAAGGAGCCAAAGUCAGAUUACAACAUUAAGUUUAAGUCUGCAGUAAUUGAUGUUAGUGCAAAUGCCAGGUGACCCAGUGAAUGCACUAUUCUGUCAUGAUUGGAUUCAGUUAAAGAAACUCCAUUAAUCAGCUGUAUGAGCAAACUAUCCAAGAAAACACAUAUUGACGAAUCAUGAGGUACAUCUUCCUCACUUGAAUAUUUCCAGUUGUGUGCUACUUCAUACUAUAUAUCAGUCUUUUUACUUCCACUCCAAGUAACUUUUGGAAGGACGUGUAAUCAUAAUAGUCAAAGAAAAUUUGUGGCCAAAGUCUGCAUAAAACUCUAGAUUAUUAAAAAGUACACUAGUACAUUGAAAACUACAACAGAGACAUGUGAAACACUUUAGACGGUCCCUUUAUUCUAUCUCUAAAUUGUCUUUAUUUGAAUGUUAAGGUCUAUUCCAUUUGAGUUCUAUGAUGGCCAUAAAGUUUCAUUAAUUGCUUUGUAAUCUGAUCAUCAAGUUACUUUUGCAACCACAUUUUAAGCAUUUUUCUCCCAGUUUUCUGUCCUACUUUAACUUUAUGUCCAGUUUAUUCCCGUAUCAUACAGAUUCCCACUGUAUGAGAUGUAUAGAGCUAGUUGGUACACCCAAUAAAUCUCUUAUAAAUCAAGUUAGUUACGGUGGCAGCAACAAUAAAAAAUGUACAUUGAAAAGAAAAGAUGUUGAGCCUUCCCAAGUCUUGCCUUAGUGUUAUGAUUCCAUAUUAUUGAUUACUUUAUUAGCAAUCAUUCCUAGGUACUUUUAUGCCCAUUAUUUCAAUUGUUGUGUCAUACUAACACUUAAGAACAAGCGUAUUUUGUUGAAUUUAUAUUUUUAACUGGUUAAUAUUGUCAAAUCAGAACUUCUUAAUGUUGUGUUUUGAAAAUAUUUUCGACUUGUGUAGAUAGAUAGGACCGUACAAAUUAUAAAUAAACUGUACUUGUUCGAAUCCAGGGAGGAAUGUGUGCCUUAAAAAUGUAGUCAUAAUCUACCCAAACCCUUCAAAAAGAGUCAGGUAAAGUCCCUGAAUCUACAACAUCUCUAUGCAGCUCAUUGAGCAUAAUCUAAAUCCCUAGCAUCCCCAAGAUCCUAAUCCACUUCUCCAGAGACCACUGCAAUACAAAGAUAGCAACAAUUUCAGUUUGUCAUGGCUGUUAAAAAAGCGAAGAACAUAUACACUUUCUGCAACAGCUUACCUUGAAAUCUGUUGAUGUCAUGGAGAGAUAUGACAGCAGUACUGGCAGCUUGUCAACUUUCAGUACUUGAUCAAGUAUGUUUAAUGUCACAUGACUUUCUCUUGUCUGGGGAAUGUCACUGUGGCAGUUUCACCUUUUUUAUACGCUCUUUUAAUAUUCUGGAUACUCCCCUUUGGAGUAUGGGCCAUGAUUAUGAGCAACAUUAAUGCACACAUAAGUGAAGAAAGAGUAAAACCAAAUAACGAAGACAUGCAGAGGGGGUGUCAGUGCGGCAAAAGGGUUUAACAGUACCUUCCUCUGGAGUCUAGUCUUGGUUAAGGCUGCUGCAAGAAGUCAGGUUGGGUCAAAUUGAGAAUGCAGAGUGUAAUAGCCAGGAAUAUUUGCUUCAAGCAAAUGGGCAGGGUGAUGACAUUUAUAUCAUGUAUUCUGUUAUGUCUGGCUUGAGACACUCACUUCUACAUGGCAAAACUUUACAUGGUCUACGUGAAUAAACAACUUAGGAUAAUUCAGGAGUUGACUGUCCUGGCACAGCAACCCAAACUGCUGUUUCCCAGUCAAACCACUAAUAGAGCUGAAAACCUGAAAGUAUGACUGUUUUCUGCUUCAAAUUCUGUGCAGAAUCAUUGAUUUUGCACUUUUACUCGUCCGUAAGGCAUCAUCUGAAGGGCACCUUCUCUGGACUUGAAUGAGUGAUGGUGUCCUUGAGUGUGUGUGUGUUUCUUUAUGUGUGUCAUACACAUGGAUUGGCAUCUUUCCCCCUUACUGCUGGCAACCCUUCAGCAUAUGAGGGGAAUGGACGGGGGUGCCACUGAAGAAUGAUAAAGUAGUCGCAAGACAGGUCAUUGCAUUCAUUAACGCUGUACCUAUACUUGCUUAUAAAUACUGCUUCAUUUGGCAUGAAUUUGGCAAAGGAGAGAGUCAUGUGAUUCUGCAAAGAUGCUGUUCAGAUGCAACGCUUUGCUGGCGAUUUUAGUGUAGGGCUUUGCUUUAUUGUGUUGGCUAAAAUUUCUUGUUUUAGAUAAGUUAUGUGCAAAAAAUAAUACAACUUUUAAGUUAAAAAACAAGUCUCCAUGUUCAUCCACUCAGGGUGAGAUAAUGUACAGUUAGUUGUAUUUCAAAAGGAGGCAUCCAAGAGCUUCACACACUGUAUCACAAAGGAAAGGGGGCAGGACAAGAGGAGAAAGCGAGAGAGCAAAGAAAGAAGAUAGAAGGAGUCGGGCCCUUGGACAGCAGGUGAGUGUGUGAAGGCAGGGGAUGACAGAUGCUUCUGUCAGCGUUCCAACAGUCACCACUUUGUGGGAGCAGCGCAGAUGCCUACUCCUCCCCACUCCUUCCUCCUCCUCCUCCCUCCACACCUGCCCUCCCCCCUUCUUUUCGACAGACUGUGAUGAGGGGAUAACAAGACAGGAGCAGUCCUCUCAGCAGUAAAGUGACCACACUGGCACAGUACUACAUGUGGACAGGGGGAGAGGCUAAGGUGAUGGAGAGGUUCAGGCCUGAGCCCAAGGCUUGGGGAUGGUCUCAGCGGCGAUGGAGAUGGGGGCGAGGGGUUAUAAAUGUGGGGGUCAGUGCGUGAGGACAGGGGAAGGGCUCUCUCUCUGAGCUGUGGGAACCAGCUGAGGCGUUGGGUCCAUGGCGGUCCUGCCUGUGAGGAAAGCAGAUGUUUUCACUCAGGGGCGUGCCAAGUUUGCAGAGCAACCUUCAGCUGCUUGGAGGUCAGGUCUUUAAUAAGGGGGCCGGGCACGGGACAUUUCAGAGGCAAAUGCUUCAACUUUGAUACAACAACAUAUUAAUUAUGAAGGUAGACCAUAGGGCAGAGGGUUGUAGCAGAACAUCCCACCCCACUGGUUGGGAGCCUCUAUCAGGCUGACAUUAGCCAAAGCUGGCUGGCAGAUUUACUGCUGUCCUAGCACUAGCCCUCUUUUUCAACUAGACCUCCUCCAUGCAGUUUGGAUGGCUGGAGCACAACCAGUUAGCUGUUUCGUCUUAGGUGGUGUUAAACAGUUAUAUUUCCAUAUUAACAACAGUAAAACAUAUUGUUUGCUUAAAAUAAUUUAAACACUUACAGAGACAAACAUUUAAAUUGUAGUUGCAGCUCUGCGAAAAAUCUGUGGCAUUUGUAUAAAAUAGUUUAAGUUUACAAUUUUAUGUCGCUAUUUUCAGCUACACUGACAAAAACUUUUCUAAAGCCAAUGAACCACAGUUUCUUAACUAAAAUGUGUGGCUUCUAAGCAUCAUGCAUCAUCAACACAGUAUCUUUCUCUCAGGGGUUUUAUGGGCAAAAAAGAAGUAAAAGGAGUGUGGAGUCAGGAUCGAAACUUAUCAAGUAGACAGGACCAUGACACAAAUAAACAAAAAUAUACUGAUGUAUAGUUUUGAUUUGCACGAUAGAAAGUUUUCAACAUUAGCUGGCUUAAUAUCAGGAUCAAUUUUCGUUUAGGUAUCAUUUUUUGCUAUCGUGCAGUCGUUACUAAAGUUGGUAUAACUAGAGAAGUAAGCAGUCAGCAGAAUUCGUCUCUCGAGGGGGUGUCUAACCCUGACCUUAACCCCCUAAUCCUAAUCCUAACCCUAUCCCAAACAAUUGGCAAUAUUCAUCUCUCGAGGGGGUGUGUCACCCUAACCCUAAACCGAACCCCAACCCUAGCCCCAAACCCUAACCCCUAACCCUAGACUCAACCCUAACCCUAGCCCCAACUCUAACCCUAGUCUCAACCCUAACCCUAGCCAAAACCCUAACCCUACCUCUAACCCUAACACUAGUCCCAACCCUAACCCUUACCCUAACCCUCAACCCUAUCCCUAACUCUAUCUUUAACCCUAGCUCUAAUCCUAACCCUAACCCUAACCCAAACAAUUGUCAAUAUUCAUCUUUCAAGGGGGUGUCUCACCCUAACCCAAACCCCUAAACCUAACCCCAACCCUAGCAACGAACCCUAACCCCUAACCCUAGCCCUAACCCUAGCCUCAACCCUAACCCUAGCCUCAACCCUCACCCUAGCCCCAACCCUAACCCUGGCCCUAACCCUAGCCUCAACCCUAACCCUAGCCUCAACCCUAACCCUAGCCCCAACCCUAACCCUAACUUUAACCCUAACCCUAGACCCAACCCUAACCCUAGCCUCAACCUUAACCCUAGCCCUUACCCUAGCCUUAACCCUAACCCUAGCCCAACCCUAACCCUAGCCCCAACCCUAACACUAACCCCUAAACCCCUAACCCUAACCCUUACUUAGAGUGUUUGACCCUAACUCAUUUAUGCCGAAAUAUCCCUUUAAGUACUGAACACUAAGCGAUGACUAAAGAAGUCAUAAUAGGUGUAUAUAUAUGAUGAUUGUUUUUCAGGCCUGUUACUCUGUCUAAAUUAUUGAUAAAGUUCAAACAUUGUGACUGAAGGUUGAUAAAACAGAAGUGUGUCCUGGAUAGAUCCAUUUAAGUUUCAGUUAUGCUUUAAGUGUGUGCUCUGUUUCCAAAGGCUUUCUCUAAACCCUCCAUAUAAAAUGGUGGGAACCAGUUCCAGAAAAUAAGUUCUCACAAGCCAACUGUAUGAUAGCUGCCCUGUGUGAAAUGGCACAGAGCCAGAAUACAUGAGCACCUGGAGAUGAAAGUUGAAUAUCUUACAGCCAAAGUGACCCAGAAAUGUUCUUUAUGUGAUAGAGUUUGUCCUCAUGUUUGACAGCUGUGGAGCCAUUGCUGUACUGUUACCCGGAAGGUUAGUUGUCUUCCAUUUUCCAUCACACAAUCACACUUGCCUCAGUUGUUCUUUGUUAAUUUUUUUGCUUCUUUGUGAAAAGCUGCUUACAGUUCUUUAAAUAUGCUAACUUAUCUAACUACUAUCAGCACAGCACUGCCAUCUUCCUCACUUAUACAGCGCUCUAAAGGUGUUGUUAAAGGACAUCUUGAAAAGCUGUGAGGCUGCACGAAAUAGGACAAUUAGUUUCAUCAUGAAGCCACAAUGAUUACAAAAAAGUGCUCCUAAGACUUUAUCACUUCCCGGCAAGAUGAGUUAAGAAGGGAGUUUCACCUCAUCUCAACCUUUGCAUUGAUUUUCAAGAGAGUGGGAGAUCUGGGGAUUACUUUGGAGAGCAGCAAUGAAGACCUAGCUUAUUGGGUCUUUUUUGUAUUUGGCAAAUGGGCUUGACAAAGAUGGAGGAGACAAAAUCUAGGGCUUACAGCUGCGGCACCCAAUCGGCGGAACUUGAAAGCAGCGCCGGGAUGGGAAGCUGGGAGAGAGGGUACCUCAUUUAGGAGUGGUGAAUUUGGACAGGGGGCAUGGGGAAAUGCUUAAAGUAAACCGCAGAGGCCCCAACAAUCGUCAGGAAUUGAGACGUUUUAAACCUUUAACGGGGGACUGUGAUCAAAGCGGCAGCGGAUCCUCACUUGAGUGCAAAAGCAGAACCAGGGGGAACAGAGGGGAUUGUGCGGGAUCAUGGCAGGUUGAAAACGUAAAAUCAGCACAUUAGCUUUAUAAGGGCGUCAGAAUAUGGGAUGAUCAGGGGAUCAUGGGACCCAUGGGGAACCAAAGAGAAUCCAGUAUGUACCAAACUGAGGCGAGGAAAAAUGAGGCCACUGCUGACAGAAAAGCUUCCUGCAUCAAAGAUUUAGUAAGAGGAGAAAUAAUGUUGCUCAAUUCCCAAAGAAAAUCACCUCAUACGCAGUUUGGGCUUGGAAACUGUAACUUUGUAAGUUGCCAUUUGCAAACAGAUCUAAUGCCACCAUGGACUUUAUUACUGAAUCUUAUUGCAAAUGAGCAGCUUUCAUCAUAUCAAACUUUUCUCUCUAAAGUUCAGCUGCAAAGUCACUUCAAACUUUGACCAUCAUUUCGUCUUAUCAGAGUGAAAGAUUUCUACAUAACAGUUCACCGUCAAUGCCAUAUUUUAUGAUCUGAUGCCGGGCAGGUACAGGUAUGGACCUCACGUCUUCUUUCCUUUUUAAACCCACCUCAAACAGAGCACAAAUUAGUGGGGCCCCCCCUCCCACCCUCCUCCCCUUUGCAGCAGCCUCUCCCAGUCGCAGGGCUAAUUCAGAGGAGCACUAGCCUUGGGUAGCAGGGGGUUCUCUCUGUGCUGAAUUAUAAAUCAAAGGGCACUUACAUGAAACCACUUGCUAAUUACAUGUUCACAUCGCUCCUUUUUUUCUCCUCACCAUGUCACUUUAUACCGGCUCUGAUCAGUGGGAGGUAGAGGAAGGUACAGAAACCUGGACCCGGCUUUGGGAUAAUUAUGUCGAUGUAACCCAGCUAAGAUGAUAGCAAUUAUUUUCCUGUGAUAACCAUGUGCUACAUUGAUGUUAAUGCCUAUCACUUGCAAGCACUUUGGGCUCUGUCCUUGAUGUGUGCUCCCCAAGCCACUGCACCUGCUCAGCCACGAAGCAGCUCACUUUGUACCUUUAGCUGAGAUAUUUUUAUCUGUUAAAUCCCUCCCCGUCUGCACUGUAUUUGUGACUUCCUCAUCCCCUUCAUGUCCUCUGAGUGUCAUUCUCUGCCCCCCUGUCUGCAAGGAAAACCAAUUUAUCACCAGCCAAAGGAGGGCCUUCACUUUUUCUGUUUUUUUUUUCUUCCAAGCCUCUCCCUCUAAUGAAAGGAGGUACUGCGUCCUGGUCAGUCCACAGAGAUUUGAGGGGCCAAAAAGUCCAGGUCCAAGUCCAACUUGGGGAAGUAAUUACCCCUCUGGUGGACCGGCCAGAGCAACUCACACUCUCUGGACGCUCACGUAUGUGCCCACGGCCCCCAUCGUUAGAGAGGCCCCUGAAGCUGGAUGUCACAUGACCCGGACGAGGGUGAUGCAAAGGGGUCGACUCAGCACGCCUUGGCCUGGGUAGCCACUAUUGGCGAAAGGAUCAGAGGAGUGGUGCCAAACUCAGCAGAGGAGAGGAGAAAAUGAGGAGAUGGAAGAGGAGGGGCUUUGACAGGAAGAGGAAUGGUCUGUCAGGGAGACAUAAAUAACGAGGGGAAAGCGGGCAGCAGGUGACCCGCGGCAGGGCUGCCUCGUAGGGACAGUGACCGGUUGACCUCGGGGCUAGCUCUCGUGAGGGCCACCCACUGGUCACCUACUUUUACACUGUCACAUCAGGGCGGAGACCCAACAUGACAAAGUACAGAAAAACAAGGAGCACGAUCAGCCGCCAGACAGGCUCUAAAAAAGAAGUCCAGCGUUGAAGAGAUCUGGCCACAGGAGGAGCUUUAGGUCAAGGAAUUGGAGCACAGAAACACUUCACUCUAAUAUCAUUUCAAAUCUAAGUCAUGGCCUAUUUUACAGUACAUGACUCACACUGAAAAGCCUUUAUUCAUUUUAUCAGAUUAAAUUAAUACAUGAACUCACUGCACUUUACACAGUAAAAGUGCUUGCCCUUUCCUUUUAUAAAUUGUCACUAUUUUACAUCUCAUAAAAUAUACAUUUUUAUAUAUUCAUAUUGAAACUUUGGGCUCGUAGAGGAAAACUGUUAAAAUCCAGUAUUCCCACUUUUUUUUGUUAAGUUACAGUAAAGAAAUAGUUAACCUUAAAAUGAAAAGUUUCCUCUGUCAACUUCCCAGACUGUCUGUGAAGUCUAGCUUUAUAUUUCUAGAACUUAAAGUGCCCAUAGUUUAAGAACUAACUGGUCCUGGAAAAACUCCCUCUGCCUGUAUUUUCAUCUGUCCUCUUCUUUCUUCAUGAUGAAUCAGUGUCUGAGUUUCUAAUGUAAUUUACUUCAGUGAGAUGCCUGGGAAUGCCCAUCAUUCUCUCUAUCUGUUCCCACUGCUAUUGAUCCUCCUCUCUGACCAAUUUGAGAUCUGCCUCCACAGGAGCUGCUGCUUCCAUGUCUGCACCACUGGACCAAACCCAGCGCCUGUCCAGUCGCAACAGCAUGUCUUCACUCAUGGUGUCAAAUAGACGGUGUUAAGGAUUUGACUCUGUAGUCCUUUAACUAUUUUCACUGAAUGACUGAAUGAAAGCAUAAUUGAAUAAAUUUCAAGUUUUUCUUGUAUUGUCCUGUUUUUCCGCUCUUCUCAAAUCCUCUGACUCAGUCUAUCACCCUGCUCUUGCAGUUAUGAGUGAAGAUCUUUAUGACACUCAUCAUUGUGUUCUGUAACAAAGUUCGUCUCCUUUGGCACAGAGGCAUGAUAAGCACUUGUAUCUUUUAAUCUAUAGAUCCCUCAUCAGAUGUUUACUUACUGGACCCAAUCAAACUCAUACCACUUACCAUCAGACACUAGUACCACAUGUGGAGAAUCUGCCUUUAGAUUUUGUGCUCCAUAUAUGUGAAAUUAUUUACUAUGGAAACUCUAAGGUAGAAACUCUUGUUUUUAUUUAAUAAUCUUUGUCAGGUACCACUUAAACUCACUGUCUUGGGUAGUUUGGGUCUAUUUUCAUUGUAUCUCGACAUCAUCAUUGUAAAUGAAGAAAACCUCAAUUAUUUUUGAUACUUAUAUCAAAGUUGAUCAUGAUUUCCACACUAAUAUGGUCACUAUUCUCUCUAAAGUGUUGUUUUGCUUUAGGUUCAAUGUUGUUUGCUUUUUUGAUGCAAAUAUUUUAUACUAGGUUUAAAUAAAGCAGGUAGAUCUCUAGUAAAACUGAAUAUGUUGUAUCAUAUUUUUAAAUCCAAAUUAAUAGCAAAACUUCAUUAGGUUGUAACGAUAUACAAGUUAUUUUGAGUUUUAACUACAUAUUUUAAAUUCCAUCAUUUUGUAUUUCAAAACAGACUUUGAGUCAAUAACAAUGUAAACAGCUCUUGGUUCGAGAAUUAAAUGCAUGUCAUGAAAUGAACGACUUAUCUUGUUAUUGACAAAACAAAGACCGAUUUCUUGUGAUAAUUAAUUAAUUAAAAUUGUGUCCGCCAUUGUUACUGUUGUUGUCUUAUCGCACAUGGCACUUAAUUGUUCCCACGUUGACAGUGUAAUGCACAUGUGGAGUGUAAAGUCAGCAUUUUCAAUGAAAACCCGGCUUGCUGUUGACAACAGUGGCUGUCGUGUUUCGGAAAUAUCUGACUCUGGAGGGCGUUUUUAAAAGCUACUGUCUUCAGUCGACUAAAACGCCAUUUCUGUUAUGAGAAAAUGAUCUUUGUUAUGUCGAAAUAACAAAAAAAAUCAUUAUCACAAGAAAACAAACUUAUUUAAGAUAACAAGACAAUAAGUUGUUAUCACAAGGUAACAGUGCAUAAAAAAAUCAAGAAAAAUCAAUGGCCUUUCUCGUCUUCCGUACAAAACAGAUCCUUUUUUAUUUUUUUUAAAUCUUGGCAGUGUCCUGACAAACCUCACAGUGAAAAAAAGUGUCAACAGAGAAACAGUUCAAAGGAGCAGACAGAUUAAUUAAAUUUGAUGGGUCACAGUGAGUAAUCUGAUUUCCUGGUGGAUCAAUACAGGGGAUCCAAGAGAAUUGCUGAAUUAGUUUUAGCCCACGCUCAUAGCCUUGAUUAGACUGUAGUUUGUAGUCUGAAGGGGGCCUUUGGGAGACAGUGGUUCUCUACUGCACGACAAGAGGGCCCAGCUGAAAAGUUCAUGAUUAUACUGUAUGAUUGUGUUUGUGCGCACGUAAAAGAGGGUGUGUUGUUUUUGAACAGGGCUUUGUGCACUUCUCCAAACACAGCUUUGUCCGGGGGCCCAAAAAUGAACCCUAUCCCAUAAUAGUCGGGGAUCUGCCCGGAGGAGAGGUGACAGCAGGCCGGGCUGGAGUCGUCAUGGCGAUGGCCUGCGCUGCAAGUCAAUACUUGGUGAGAGGGGGAAUUGAGAGGGGUGAGCAGAGCAAGGGUUGAAGGAAGAGCAGAUCAAUUUUGCUGUUUGAUCUUGCACAGGCUCUGAAUAAAUGUAUAUUUUAAGAUGUAUUUCCCCUUCUCUCCCUCUCUCUCUCUCCCCUCUCUCUCUUUCUGCGCAAACAUUGACAUUCUUCAUGUUGAUUCUUGACUUUUGUGGAUAGAGACUUGAUUUUAUCCAACAUCUUUGACUUGUUAUUCCUGCAGUGGUUUUCCUGCACUUCUGCAGCCAGGCUGAGGUGGCUUUGCAUGAGCAGAGCCCUGAAGGUUGUGGCUGCAUUGAAGUCAUACUCCUUUUUGGCUACACAAACACCGACAAAUAGCUUUUCUGGCUACCAUCCACCGACACACACACUUGACCACACCUCUUAAUGGCAUCCACACCCAGCCAAAGUCAUCUGGACACACACUGGUAUGCUAUCAAAUCUGCACUUUUCCCUCCAUGAACGACUCCUUCACCCCUGACCACACAGUCCUAGACUCUCUGUGGCACAUUAUUUAACUUCACCUACUUCUUGCUUACACUUGAAGCUCAAGACACAUACUCAGGAGGGAAGACAAACAUAACUUCUUUAUUCACUGAUGCAAGAGUGACGUAAAAUCCUCCAAUGCUUGGACAGUGCCAGAUAGCAAUGCACAGAUGGUAAACAGUGUUGCGUUGGGUUGCGUUCAGCUCUAGGGGUGCUAUCAGACAAAUUGUAUGAAUGUUGAUGUUACUGUAAAAUACAAAAGGCCCCCCAAAAAGAUCUUUUUUCUUGCAUGAGACAUUAAACGUUAAUGUGCCUGUAUCAAUAUCUCUGUUUAUGUUCCACCUCACUUCGAAGGGUAACUCUUAAGUGAAGAUUUUCUUUCAUACUUUUCUCCUCCGGGCAUUAAAAGGUGAGUUUUAAGUUCAUAAAGACAUUAAUGGUCUUUGAAUUCAAAAUACAUUGGACCUUAAAGAACCGAGGGUCUAGGAGGAUUCGUCCCAUUUACAGCCCUCUCCUGUCUUCCUCCUCCUCCUGCUUCAACAUGGCUAUCCAUGCUACAUCCCUGCAGUCUUUUUUGUCCUUGAUCUAGUUUAAAUAACAGGCACUGCUGCCAUAAUUAUGAUUUUAUCUCAUUUAACAUCACUGGAUUAAAGUGUUUCAAGGUUGGACAGAUUGGAAAUAAAGAGGGAUUUGAGCCAGAGUUAAUGAAUUAUGCCGACUGGACAUUUGUCUAAAUUAUUUAUUGUCUCUAUGAUAUUAAAGCUAUGUGGUGAUUAGCAAUUUAAAUGUCUUGAGGGGGAGUUUUAUUGCGUUCUAUAUAGGGUGUGUAAAAGGAAAAAUAAAACUGCUACUUGUCAGGCCAUGCCUCUGUAAUGUGUGUUCAAAAGGCAUAUUUAUUCCCUCAUUGCUUCAGAUGCAUAAAUAAUGUAGUUGACUGAGUGUAAAACUGUUUUAUUUUCUGAAAUGCAUCACAAGUGCUGCAACACUGCGAUGCAAGAUCAAAUUGAAUUACAUAAGUAAAAGGAACAUGAGAUCCCAGCAGGGGUGAUCGUGGCCCCUCAGAUCAAAUCCUCUGGAUUUUAGGGUUUUAAGAAGAUCUUCACAGAUAUAACUAAAGUCUUUUUUCCACUGACCUGCAGCACUCAUUCAUUGUUCAAGUAAAUUGUACAAAUUUCUUACAGAAUUGUUAUGCAAGUUGUGGUGAAAGUUUUAUGUGCUAUGGAGGGCACAAUACAAAGUUUAAAAGUAUCUAUAAUGGCUUCACCGUUGAGUGAAUGCCACUGAACUGAAUAUUAUCGGUCAGGUUUUGGUUUACACAAAGAUAAGGGGCCCAGAUAUGGACCAAAUGUUGAUGACAAUGAGUAUGAGAAAAUCCAAAACCCUGUUGUUUACAAAACAGUAACAAAAAUGUUUCUUGCCUUCCUUGAACCCCUCAUCCAGGUCUAUACUCUUUCUGCCAGGUACAGUCCACCAAUGACAGAUGCCUGGAACUGCCAUCAUGGCCCCAAGUGGAGUGUUGAUGGCCUAGUAGUCCAAGGGCCUCACUUGUAGAGACUAUGGUCCUCAUCACAGCAAUUGCCUGGCACAACCCUUUGGUGCAUGUCUUCGUCUACUAUCUUCUCCCCACAUUUUCUCUCUCUGAAAAAAAUCCCCAAACUAUAUGAAUAAAGUGGGCCCCAGGUCACUCGCCAGAACCGUCUUUUCUGUUGUUUUUAAGUGGCAAGAUUAAUUACCAAACUCCAUUUGAUCUACAGAGUCCUUUAUUGCCUUUAAAGCUCCUAUGAGGAACAAUUUUGGUUUGUAAUAAUUUUGGUGCCCUCUGUGGACAAAGCAGUCUUUGCUUUUGCUAACUUUAUCGACAAAUCAUUUAUUAUAAACAUUUUAUGUGGAAUUUGUAAAAACGGCUGUUUCUCCAGAUGCUUGGCUGACACCUACCCCCCUCACAUUGGAAUUAGGUAUGAACAAUGACAUUAUAAACAUCCUCAGUCUUGCCUUUAAUGGAUGGUCUUGUUUGGUUUUGGAUGUCAUAAAAAGUAUCAGCACAACUUUCAGUGUGUUUCAUAAAGGUCAAAAAACUCCCAAUGGAAGCUUUAAGAAAAAGCUAGAAACCCAGCUCUUUUAGGAGUACUUCUGUACUUUGACUCUAUCUCUCUGUAGACCUUAGAUGAAGGAAUCCACCUUAUCCUCACCAAUGAUGAUGAUGAUAAACAUUAUGAUGAUAAUUAUGAUGAUUAAGAUGAGGAUUUGGAGGUUAACUUAAAAUUCAAACCAUAAAAACGUUUUGUAGCUGUGGAAAGGAUGGCAUAAAUUAAAAUAAAAAGCUUUUUAUGAUACUGCAUGUCAGCACCUGUGUUAGAUUGGGGCUGAAAUAGUUUGUGACACAUGUGUUGUCUGCGCCCAUCUCCUGGCUGCUAAAUGAAACUGAAGAAUUUGCAGAAAUUGUGGAAAAUCUCCAGUGACAUUACAAAAUAUUGUAAAUACAUACAAUACCGGACAAGAUCAUGACACAAAUGUUUUUAGGUAUGGACAGACUCUGCAACAUCAUGAGCUAAUGAAGCCCAAAAGGACUUAAACCGGCCACUGAAUUUUCUAACCAUCAUACACUGUCCUCAGCGUCUGGAUCAGCAGGGUGGGAGUUAGUUGCAAUCUACAACCUCACAGCUAGAUGCCACUAAAUCCUGCACACUGCAGCUUUAAAGGAGUGUUAUAUAUUUGUCAUAUUAGAGAAUGACUUAAGCUGUGUAUGUGUGGUUACAAAGUCUUUGCUGUUUUAGGUGGUGAAGCUGAAGCCAGUUGUAUUUAUAUGAUCUAUAUUUUUCUUUUGAGAUCAUGUUUUAUAUGCUAAAAGUAUGAAUCGUUAUUUGUAAAGUAAUUGGCUUUUUGCGGUGUGAAACUUAAAACAUUUUCAUCUAAAUGAAAUUCUAGGAGUAAAAUAUUAAGCGAUAGGUCUUCUCAUGUAAAAUUACCUAAAUCAAACCUCUGAAUGUGGAUUUAUACAGUCACAGUUAUCACUGAUUGGUCCUUUAAGCUUCCUUUGCAAUUUUCUCAGUGAUCACAUCUCCAGAGAACGAGCAUGAGAUGAGUGUGUUUGUCUCCACAGACGGACUCAAAUCUUCUGUGAAUCUGGAUUUUAAAGCAAGGUAAUAAAACUGAAUGAUUCGUGUCUAGAGGAAUAUUUGACAUACAGAGAGAAGCAGGGUGCUUAUGGGAUUUGACUCUGUCAAUAUGGAGCUUAAUACCACUCAGCUUUUCCAUUUUAUGUCGCCUCAAUGUGUGUCAAUGAGGGUGCAAGUUUUCCUUCUCCCUGGGAAAUGCUGUCUAUAAAUGUACUCUAGUUUGUAUUCCACAGUUCACAGCUUAGAGUGUUUAUUUAUGUGUGUGUGUAUGUGUGUGUGUGUGAGGGACUCUCAUAGGAUCUGCAGUAGACCACAGUGUGCGAUCUAUGCUAGCCCUCUGUUGCAUGAUGUGAGCUAAUAACACCUUCCAGGGCCUUCCAGGACUGCCUAUGUGCCCCCUCGCACACUGAGGGGCCGGCAUGCUGCAGCCCUCCUCUGCCUGACCCUCUGACCUCAACCCGAGCUAAUGAGCACACAGGACGGCUGAGCUGGGGGCCAUACAGCAGCUGAGCUUUACUCCAAGUUCCAGAUGAUGACAUUUGUCCUCAUCGCAGAAAGAAUAUGAAGAAGACGGCUCAGAGUAAAUGUUUUACUUGGAAGCUCAUAGGAGACUGCAGGUUAACAUGCAAAUCACAAGAGCUCAACUCGAGUUGAGGACAGCCGCAUUAAUAAUUCAAAAGCAUUAAUUAUGACAUGGCUGUCUCAAUUUGGUGCCAUUGCUGAGGGCAUGUUAAUGUGACUACGUCUGUGAGGACCACCCUUCCUUUUCCUGUCUCUGCCCAUCCUCUCAUUCCCCUACAUGGGACCAGCCACUGCUACCGGCCAUCCACAGCCACAGGGACCUAAUUAACACAACAUAAAUGAUGGGAUGCUGAUAAAGCAGUCACUGGUGCCGUCGCAGGGCAGCAUGCCGCUGCUGCGCUGGCUCUCGACAUUUACACAGCAGACUGAAAUGGCCAACUGUGUUUACUUGCUAGAAUGAGUCUGCUUUGCCUGCUUGCCGAGAUGCAGCAAAUACUGUGAAUGUGUGUGCGAGGGUGUGAUUAACUUGUGUCUGACAGUCUAUGAGCCAAUGAUAAUUACUUCACAACACAUUUUAAUAACUGUAGUUCAGUCUGACUGUCUGUCCAUCAUUCAUUUCUCAUCAGUGCAAUAGGUUGAAGUUAUUUAAAAAAAAACCUAAAAAAAACUUUGGAAUUCAAGUAAAACAAAAGACAUUGUUUUAAUUUGAAUAAAAAGUCUCAGUAGUCCAAAAGUAACUGUGCUUAAAUAACAAAUUCUGAAGCUAAAAAAACAAACAAAUAAAAAAAACAAGUAAGUGCUGGAAUUCAGGUUUUAUCGAUCUUGACAUAUAAGACAUUAAGAAAUAAAAAGUAACAAAAAAAUAAGUUAAAUGAACUACUGUACGUUAAGAGAAAUACAAAUGUAGACAAGUUGCUGAAAACUGAAAAAGUCCAUAAAAGAGAAAAUAGUUUAAAUUGUAUGAUAAUAAACAUCACAUAUAUACAUUUCAAAAAGAGAACAACUAGAAGAGGAGAGUGCUGAUUCAAAAAGAUGAGAGUUUCUGAAUGUGGUCCAAACCUUUUUGAAUUUUUCCUCUUUACCUGCGACUGAGUACAUUUUGAUGAAAAUAAUCAAGUUCGUCUGUACAACCCUCCUUCUGUCAAUGUUGUUUUUUGGUUUAGAAAAGUUAAUUUACAAAGUCCAAGAUAAAUUGUGUGGGGCUUUGUCAAUCCUUGCCUGAACUCCAGGCCCUUCCCUGGCCCAGUCUUCACUUUGACCAUAACCCCAGCCCUAACUGUGAAAGUUUAACCC